rnacentral:rRNA from 1 species
AGAGUUUGAUCCUGGCUCAGAACGAACGCUGGCGGCGUGCUUAACACAUGCAAGUCGAACGCGAAAGGGGCUUCGGCCCCGAGUAGAGUGGCGCACGGGUGAGUAACGCGUAAGUGAUCUACCCCUGUAUCUGGAAUAACUAUGGGAAACUGUAGCUAAUACCGGAUACGUUCAUGUGAUUGCGAUUAUGUGAAGAAAGAUGGCCUCUGACAUAAGCUAUCGUACAGGGAGGAGCUUGCGUACCAUUAGCUAGUUGGCAGGGUAAAGGCCUACCAAGGCGACGAUGGUUAGCGGGUCUGAGAGGAUGAUCCGCCACACUGGAACUGAAACACGGACCAGACUCCUACGGGAGGCAGCAGUGAGGAAUAUUGCGCAAUGGGGGCAACCCUGACGCAGCGACGCCGCGUGGAUGAUGAAGGCCUUCGGGUCGUAAAAUCCUGUCGGAUGGAAAGAAGUGCAUAUAUGCUAAUAUCAUGUAUGUUUGACGGUACCAUCAGAGGAAGCACCGGCUAACUCCGUGCCAGCAGCCGCGGUAAUACGGAGGGUGCAAGCGUUGUUCGGAAUUACUGGGCGUAAAGCGCGCGUAGGCGGUUUGUUAAGUCAGAUGUGAAAGCCCCGGGCUUAACCUGGGACGUGCAUUUGAAACUGACAGACUUGAGUAUUGGAGGGGGUGGUGGAAUUCCCGGUGUAGAGGUGAAAAUUCGUAGAUAUCGGGGAGGAAUACCGGUGGCGAAGGCGACCACCUGGCCAAAUACUGACCCNUGAGGUGCNAAGGCGUGGGGGAGCAAACAGGAUUAGAUACCCNUGGUAGUCCNACGCCGGUAAACGAUGANAACUAGGUGUUGGGGA